rnacentral:rRNA from 1 species
AACGAACGCUGGCGGCGUGCCUAACACAUGCAAGUCGUGCGAGAAAGUUCCCUCGGGAGCGAGUAAAGCGGCGCACGGGUGAGUAACACGUAGGUAACCUGCCCCCCAGUCUGGGACAACUAGAGGAAACUCUAGCUAAUGCCGGAUGAGACCACGAUCCCUUCGGGGGUUGCGGCCAAAGAUGGCCUCUACUUGUAAGCUAUCGCUGAGGGAUGGGCCUGCGGGCCAUUAGCUUGUUGGUGAGGUAACGGCUCACCAAGGCUGUGAUGGCUAGCUGGUCUGAGAGGAUGACCAGCCACACUGGGACUGAGACACGGCCCAGACUCCUACGGGAGGCAGCAGUGGGGAAUAUUGGACAAUGGGCGAAAGCCUGAUCCAGCAAUGCCGCGUGAGUGAUGAAGGCCUUAGGGUUGUAAAGCUCUUUUACCCGGGAUGAUAAUGACAGUACCGGGAGAAUAAGCCCCGGCUAACUCCGUGCCAGCAGCCUCGGUAAU